rnacentral:rRNA from 1 species
GACGAACGCUGGCGGCGUGCUUAACACAUGCAAGUCGAGCGAUGAGAUCACUUCGGUGAUGGAUUAGCGGCGAACGGGUGAGGAACACGUGAAGAAUCUGCCUUCAACUCUGGGAUAACUCCGGGAAACCGGGGCUAAUACCGGAUAUGAGCCUUGAUCGCAUGAUCGGGGCUGGAAAGUUUUUCGGUUGAAGAUGACUUCGCGGCCUAUCAGCUUGUUGGUGAGGUAAUGGCUCACCAAGGCGACGACGGGUAGCCGGCCUGAGAGGGCGACCGGCCACACUGGGACUGAGACACGGCCCAGACUCCUACGGGAGGCAGCAGUGGGGAAUAUUGGGCAAUGGAGGAAACUCUGACCCAGCGACGCCGCGUGCGGGAUGAAGGCCUUCGGGUUGUAAACCGCUUUCAGCAGGGAAUAAGCGCAAGUGAAGGUACCUGCAGAAGAAGCACCGGCUAACUAUGUGCCAGCAGCCGCGGUAAUACAUAGGGUGCAAGCGUUGUCCGGAAUUAUUGGGCGUAAAGAGCUCGUAGGUGGUUUGUUACGUCGGUUGUGAAAUUCAGGGGCUCAACCCCUGACUUGCAGCCGAUACGGGCAAGCUAGAGUUUGGUAGGGGAGACUGGAAUUCCUGGUGUAGCGGUGGAAUGCGCAGAUAUCAGGAGGAACACCGAUGGCGAAGGCAGGUCUCUGGGCCAAUACUGACACUGAGGAGCGAAAGCGUGGGGAGCGAACAGGAUUAGAUACCCUGGUAGUCCACGCCGUAAACGGUGGGCGCUAGUUGUGCGAACCUUCCACGGUUUGUGCGACGCAGCUAACGCAUUAAGCGCCCCGCCUGGGGAGUACGAUCGCAAGAUUA